rnacentral:rRNA from 1 species
AGCAGCCGCGGUAAUUCCAGCUCCAAUAGCGUAUAUUAAAGUUGUUGCAGUUAAAAAGCUCGUAGUUGAAUUUCGGGGUCAGUAGGUUGGUCAUGCCACUGGUAUGUACUGGUCUCACUGAUUCCUCCUUCCUGAUGAGCCGUAAUGCCAUUAAUUUGGUGUUGCGGGGAUACUGGACUGUUACUUUGAAAAAAUUAGAGUGUUUAAAGCAGGCUAACGCUUGAAUACAUUAGCAUGGAAUAAUGAAAUAGGACGUUCGAUCCUAUUUUGUUGGUUUCUAGGAUUGACGUAAUGAUUAAUAGGGAUAGUUGGGGGCAUUAGUAUUCAAUUGUCAGAGGUGAAAUUCUUGGAUUUAUUGAAGACUAACUACUGCGAAAGCAUUUGUCAAGGAUGUUUUCAUUAAUCAAGAACGAAAGUUAGGGGAUCGAAGACGAUCAGAUACCGUCGUAGUCUUAACCAUAAACUAUGCCGACUAGGGAUCGGAUGAUGUUAAUUUUAUAAUGA